rnacentral:antisense_RNA from 1 species
UGUAUAUCCCCUAAACUCCUUACCUAUAUCACAAAAACCUGCCAAGGCAGAAUACAUUCCCUUGGGAAAGGAGCUUUGGCGGGCAAGCAGGCAUCGGGUCCCAUCUGACACCAGUGUGAUCACCACAGGAGCCAUCUGGGAAAGGGGAGUGGAAACUGAGAUGCUGGCACUUUGGGCCCUGCCAAUGAGCUAAAGCAAUGUAUAAUUAAGGAAUUGCACAGGCUUCCUUCCCCAGGACAAAGCAGUGCACGGUCUUCUUGGAUUACUGUCCUCUUACAGCAAUACUUACCUGUGGAUAAUAGAUGAUAUUAUUGGAAGGGCACACACGCUUGCUGCCAGCCACGUUCUUCUUGGUGGGCUGCCCACUUCUGCUGCAGAACUGAUGAGCAUCAUGCCAGCGGAGAAGAGCUUGAGCCUAGGAACACAAAGAUGGACCUGGUUUCAUUUGGAGAGAAUGCGGGGCUCAUCUUUAACAGCACUGGGCCUAGUGUCUGGAACAACUCACAGGGAAAUGCCAAUCUCUUUACAGCUCAUGUAAUUUAAAUGGUUACUGUUUAAAUUUCAGGACAAGUAAACUAACUGAACAUAUUCCUCUAGCAUCAGAAAUCUGAAUAAAAGCAUAUUUUAA